rnacentral:rRNA from 1 species
CACGUAGGGGGCAAGCGUUGUCCGGAAUCAUUGGGCGUAAAGAGCGUGUAGGCGGUCCGGUAAGUCGGUUGUGAAAGUCCAGGGCUCAACCCUGGGAUGCCGACCGAUACUGUCGGACUAGAGUUCGGAAGAGGCGAGUGGAAUUCCCGGUGUAGCGGUGAAAUGCGCAGAUAUCGGGAGGAACACCUAUGGCGAAGGCAGCUCGCUGGGACGUUACUGACGCUGAGACGCGAAAGCGUGGGGAGCAAACAGG